GGAAGUAAAAGUCGUAACAAGGUUUCCGUAGGUGAACCUGCGGAAGGAUCAUUACCUAGAGUUUGUGGACUUCGGUCUGCUACCUCUUACCCAUGUCUUUUGAGUACCUUCGUUUCCUCGGCGGGUCCGCCCGCCGGUUGGACAACAUUCAAACCCUUUGCAGUUGCAAUCAGCGUCUGAAAAAACUUAAUAGUUACAACUUUCAACAACGGAUCUCUUGGUUCUGGCAUCGAUGAAGAACGCAGCGAAAUGCGAUAAGUAGUGUGAAUUGCAGAAUUCAGUGAAUCAUCGAAUCUUUGAACGCACAUUGCGCCCCUUGGUAUUCCAUGGGGCAUGCCUGUUCGAGCGUCAUUUGUACCUUCAAGCUCUGCUUGGUGUUGGGUGUUUUGUCUCGCCUCCGCGCGCAGACUCGCCUUAAAACAAUUGGCAGCCGGCGUAUUGAUUUCGGAGCGCAGUACAUCUCGCGCUUUGCACUCAUAACGACGACGUCCAAAAGUACAUUUUUACACUCUUGACCUCGGAUCAGGUAGGGAUACCCGCUGAACUUAAGCAUAUCAAUAAGCGGAGG
rnacentral:rRNA from 1 species